rnacentral:rRNA from 1 species
UACAGAGGUCUCAAGCGUUGUUCGGAUUCAUUGGGCGUAAAGGGUGCGUAGGUGGCGCCAUAAGUCAGGUGUGAAAUCUCGGGGCUUAACUCCGAAACUGCAUUUGAUACUGUGGUGCUUGAGGACUGGAGAGGAGACUGGAAUUUACGGUGUAGCAGUGAAAUGCGUAGAGAUUGUAAGGAAGACCAGUGGCGAAGGCGGGUCUCUGGACAGUUCCUGACACUGAGGCACGAAGGUCAGGGGAGCAAACGGG